rnacentral:pre_miRNA from 14 species
UCAGCUGUCUGUAGAGUAGCACAACGCUAAUACAUUGCACAGGUAUCACUCUGAAAGACCCCCGGAGCGGGGAGACCCUCACUCAAGUCUCGGGAUGAUACGACCCCCCAAGAACUCACGUGAGACC